UACAGAGGGUGCGAGCGUUAAUCGGAAUACUGGGCGUAAAGCGUGCGCAGACGGUUGCGUAAGUCAGAUGUGAAAGCCCCGGGCUCAACCUGGGAAUUGCAUUUGAGACUGCGUAGCUAGGGUGCGGAAGAGGGAAGCGGAAUUUCCGGUGUAGCGGUGAAAUGCGUAGAUAUCGGAAGGAACACCAGUGGCGAAAGCGGCUUCCUGGUCCAGCACCGACGUCAGGCACGAAAGCGUGGGGAGCAAACAGG
rnacentral:rRNA from 1 species